rnacentral:misc_RNA from 1 species
AACGCACAUUGCGCCCCUUGGUAUUCCGGGGGGCAUGCCUGUUCGAGCGUCAUUACACCAAUCAAGCACAGCUUGGCAUUAGGUCUCUUCGUCCGCGGUCAAACGCGGGCGGGCCUCAAAACCUUCGGCAGAGUCGGACCGGCUUUGGGCGUAGCAGAAUCUGUCACAACGUCCUUAUGGCCACACGUCUAUAGCCGUCAAAACUUCCCCUCGUGGGAUACUUUCUCAAGGUUGACCUCGGAUCAGGUAGGAAUACCCGCUGAACUUAA